UACGUAGGGUGCAAGCGUUGUCCGGAAUUAUUGGGCGUAAAGAGCUCGUAGGCGGUCUGUCGCGUCGGAUGUGAAAACCCAGGGCUCAACCCUGGGCCUGCAUUCGAUACGGGCAGACUAGAGUUCGGUAGGGGAGACUGGAAUUCCUGGUGUAGCGGUGAAAUGCGCAGAUAUCAGGAGGAACACCGGUGGCGAAGGCGGGUCUCUGGGCCUUACCUGACGCUGAGGCGCGAAAGCUAGGGGAGCGAACAGG
rnacentral:rRNA from 1 species